rnacentral:rRNA from 1 species
GUAUCCUGGCUCAGGAUGAACGCUGGCGGCGUGCUUAACACAUGCAAGUCGAACGAAGCACUUUCUACGAUCCCUUCGGGGUGACGAGUUAGUGACUGAGUGGCGGACGGGUGAGUAACGCGUGGGUAACCUGCCUUAUACAGGGGGAUAACAGUUGGAAACGGCUGCUAAUACCGCAUAAGCGCACAGUACCGCAUGGUACAGUGUGAAAAACUCCGGUGGUAUAAGAUGGACCCGCGUCUGAUUAGCUAGUUGGUGAGGUAACGGCCCACCAAGGCGACGAUCAGUAGCCGAUCUGAGAGGAUGAACGGCCACAUUGGGACUGAGACACGGCCCAGACUCCUACGGGAGGCAGCAGUGGGGAAUAUUGCACAAUGGGCGAAAGCCUGAUGCAGCCGACGCCGCGUGAGUGAUGAAGUAUUUCGGUAUGUAAAGCUCUAUCAGCAGGGAAGAUAAUGACGGUACCUGACUAAGAAGCACCGGCUAAAUACGUGCCAGCCGCCGC